rnacentral:sRNA from 1 species
UAAUUAUUAAACAUUUUGACGAUAGAAACACUAAGAAAGCUAUUUACUGCGUCUAAGAAAAUAUUUGUUGGUUUUAGCCUCUUUUGGGAUAAAAUGGGUAUAAGUGUUGUCUAAACAUUCCUAAUCCAUCUCUAACUCUUAUAAUUAGUCGAAUGCAUUGGAUUGUGAUACCUUUUGACCAUAAAAACACUAACAAAGUUAUUUACAGCUUCUAAGCAAUAUUUUGUUGGUUAUAGCUUCUUUGGGAGAAAAUGGGUAUAAGUGUUUUCUAAACACUCCUAAUCCAUCUCUAACUCUUAUAAUUAGUCAAAUGCAUUGGAUUGUGACACAUUUUGACCAUAGAAACACUAACAAAUCUAUUGACCGCUUCUAAGACAGUUUUGUUGGUUUUAGCCUCUUUUGGGAGGAAAUGGGUUAUAAGUGUUAUCUAAACACUUCUUGUCCAUCCCUAACUCUUAUAAUUAAUCAAUUGCAAAUUUUUGUUGGUUUUAGCCUCUUUUGGGAGAAAAUGGGUAUAAUUGUUGUCUAAACACUCCUAAUCCAUCUCUAACUCUUAUAAUUAGUCGAAUGCAUUGGAUUGUGAUACAUCUUGACCAUAAAAACACUAACAAAGUUAUUUACUGCUUCUAAGCAAUAUUUUGUUGGUUAUAGCUUCUUUUGUGAGUAAAUGGGUAUAAGUGUUGUCUAAACACUCCUAAUCCAUCGCUAGCUCUUAUAAUUAGUCAAAUGCAUUGGAUUGUGACACAUUUUGACCAUAGAAACACUAACAAAUCUAUUGAGUUGUUCUAAGCAAGUUUUGUUGGUUUUAACCUCUUCUAGGAGGAAAUGGGUAUAAGUGUUGUCUAAACACUUCUUAUCCAUCUCUAACUCUUACAAUUAGUCAAUUGCAUUGGAUUGUGACACAUUUUGACCAUAGAAACACUAACAAAACUAUUUACUGCGUCUAAGCAAAUGUUUGUUGGUUAUAGCUUCUUUUGGGAGAAAAUGGGUAUGUGUGUUCUCUAAACACUCCUAAUCCAUCUCUUACUCUUAUAAUUAGUCAAAUGCAUUGGAUUGUGACACAUUUUGACCAUAGAAACACUAACAAAUCUAUUGACCGCUUCUAAGCAAGUUUUGUUGGUUUUAGCCUCUUUUGAGAGGAAAUGGGUUAUAAGUGUUAUCUAAACACUUCUUGUCCAUCCCUAACAAUUAUAAUUAAUCAAUUGCAAAUUUUUGUUGGUUUUAGCCUCUUUUGGGAGAAAAUGGGUAUAAUUGUUGUCUAAACACUCCUAAUCCAUCUCUAACUCUUAUAAUUAGUCGAAUGCAUUGGAUUGUGAUACAUCUUGACCAUAAAAACACUAACAAAGUUAUUUAUUGCUUCUAAGCAAUAUUUUGUUGGUUAUAGCUUCUUUUGUGAGUAAAUGGGUAUAAGUGUUGUCUAAACACUCCUAAUCCAUCGCUAGCUCUUAUAAUUAGUCAAAUGCAUUGGAUUGGGACACAUUUUGACCAUAGAAACACUAACAAAUCUAUUGAGUUGUUCUAAGCAAGUUUUGUUGGUUUUAACCUCUUCUAGGAGGAAAUGGGUAUAAGUGUUGUCUAAACACUCAUAAUCCAUCUCUAACUCUUACAAUUAGUCAAUUGCUUUGGAUUGUGACACAUUUUGACCAUAGAAACACUAACAAAACUAUUUACUGCGUCUAAGCAAAUGUUUGUUGGUUAUAGCUUCUUUUGGGAGAAAAUGGGUAUAAGUGUUCUCUAAACACUCCUAAUCCAUCUCUUACUCUUAUAAUUAGUCAAAUGCAUUGGAUUGUGACACAUUUUGACCACAGAAACACUAACAAAUCUAUUGACCGCUUCUAAGCAAGUUUUGUUGGUUUUAGCCUCUUUUGGGAGGAAAUGGGUUAUAAGUGUUAUCUAAACACUUCUUGUCCAUCCCUAACUCUUAUAAUUAAUCAAUUGCAAAUUUUUGUUGGUUUUAGCCUCUUUUGGAAGAAAAUGGGUAUAAUUGUUGUCUAAACACUCCUAAUCCAUCUCUAACUCUUAUAAUUAGUCGAAUGCAUUGGAUUGUGAUACAUCUUGACCAUAAAAACACUAACAAAGUUAUUUAUUGCUUCUAAGCAAUAUUUUGUUGGUUAUAGCUUU